GGAAGGGGUGUAUUUAUUAGAUAAAAAACCAACGCCCUUCGGGGCUUCUUGGUGAUUCAUAAUAACUUCACGGAUCGCAUGGCCUUGCGCCGGCGACGGUUCAUUCAAAUUUCUGCCCUAUCAACUUUCGAUGGUAAGGUAUUGGCUUACCAUGGUUUCAACGGGUAACGGGGAAUUAGGGUUCGGUUCCGGAGAGGGAGCCUGAGAAACGGCUACCACAUCCAAGGAAGGCAGCAGGCGCGCAAAUUACCCAAUCCCGACACGGGGAGGUAGUGACAAUAAAUACUGAUACAGGGCUCUUUUGGGUCUUGUAAUUGGAAUGAGUACAAUUUAAACCUCUUAACGAGGAACAAUUGGAGGGCAAGUCUGGUGCCAGCAGCCGCGGUAAUUCCAGCUCCAAUAGCGUAUAUUAAAGUUGUUGCAGUUAAAAAGCUCGUAGUUGAAACUUGGGCCUGGCUGGCAGGUCCGCCUCACCGCGUGUACUUGUCCGGCCGGGCCUUUCCUUCUGGAGAACCUCAUGCCCUUCACUGGGUGUGUUGGGGAACCAGGACUUUUAC
rnacentral:rRNA from 1 species